rnacentral:rRNA from 1 species
UACGUAGGGUGCAAGCGUUAAUCGGAAUUACUGGGCGUAAAGCGUGCGCAGGCGGUUGUGUAAGACAGAUGUGAAAUCCCCGGGCUCAACCUGGGAACUGCAUUUGUGACUGCACAGCUGGAGUGCGGCAGAGGGGGAUGGAAUUCCGCGUGUAACAGUGAAAUGCGUAGAUAUGCGGAGGAACACCGAUGGCGAAGGCAAUCCCCUGGGCCUGCACUGACGCUCAUGCACGAAAGCGUGGGGAGCAAACAGG